rnacentral:sRNA from 1 species
UUUAUUUUUCUCUCUUUUCAUU